AGGGCCACCGGAGACUGGGUGUUCUCCGCCCCCCCGGCCCCUGGCCUCCCUGCCUCCCUGCCUCCCUGCCUCCCUCCCCUCCCGCUUCAAAACCGAAACUUGGCUUCCGGGCUGCUUCUCCGUACCUUCCCCGACCUCCUCCGUGCUGUCCAUUCCCGUGGUGAGCUCACCUCUAAGCCGAGACAGUGCGGCCGCGCACACGUCCCAGCUGAUGGCUCCUCUCGUCCCUCGUCCCCUCCUCCCUGACGGGCUCCUCCGCCAGCAGGACACACGUCUUUGCUGGACUCCCUGGGGACUGACAGCAGGGUCGGGGAGAGGGGAACGCAGGAGCCACCGUUCGCAGCCCAGUGCAGAGGCGGACGUGGAGACGGCCUCGGAGCCGUGGUCAGCGGGGCCGCUGGACGAGAGCUGCUAGGCGCUCCCGAAACCUGAUGGAUGUUUCCUUUCCGCCCCGUUUGAGGGCGUCCCUGCCGCGGCCGCCGUGCGCCUGCGCAGACGGGAUCCGGCCAGACUCCCCAAUCUCACUCUUUUUUAAUAAACCAGCAUAAAGUA